UACGGAAGGGGGCUAGCGUUGCUCGGAAUCACUGGGCGUAAAGGGUGCGUAGGCGGGUUUUUAAGUCAGAGGUGAAAUCCUGGAGCUCAACUCCAGAACUGCCUUUGAUACUGGGAAUCUUGAGUAUGGAAGAGGUGAGUGGAACUGCGAGUGUAGAGGUGAAAUUCGUAGAUAUUCGCAAGAACACCAGUGGCGAAGGCGGCUCACUGGUCCAUAACUGACGCUGAGGCACGAAAGCGUGGGGAGCAAACAGG
rnacentral:rRNA from 1 species